GGGCCCGUAGCUCAGCGGUAGAGCAUCUGCAUGGCAUGCAGAGGGUCGCUGGUUCAAAUCCAGUCGGGUCCACCA
rnacentral:tRNA from 1 species